CAACAGUCAUCACUCCCCCUAUUAAUGAAUUUUGUGGUUAGAUCACACAAUUACUGUAGUCAGGUGAUUUAAUCAUAGUGUAAUUAAACAUUGCAGGCAAACUGUCUUGUCUGAUUUGGAAGUGUUACUGUAAACAAUACACCAGAUGUUCCAUGCUUCGACCACCGACUUAUCAAAGAAUCGAAUCCUGAACGAGUUUUCCGGGGAUGGAAGUGUGAAGAUCGUGGUGGCGACUGUGGCCUUUGGAUUGGGGAUUGACAUUGCGGAUGUUCGUCUAGUCGUCCACUGGGGUGCACCAAGAAAUCCUUUGUCAUACUGGCAGGAGGUGGGGAGGGCAGGCCGGGAUGGGAAACCGUCCCUUGCAGUUGUUUAUCCCUACGGUCGUUCGUUAGUGGGAGACAGUGGACUGAGAGAGACGUUUAAGAGUGUUGAGUGCUUGAGGCUGUCAGUAUUAAAGACUUUGUUAACUAAAGAGAUGGGUGAAAGUGAGUUAUGCGUUAGGGAAGGUUGCGUUUUAAAGAAUUGUUCUGUAUGUGAGUGUGAUCUUUGUCAGUGUUGUUCGAGGUGCUGUGCAAAAUGCGGAUGUGUUGGUGUGAUAGGUGUUUUGGAGAGAUUUUUCAUUUGAUAAUUGUCACUGAUGAGAAUGUAAUGAUACACAGACAAGAAUAACAAGCGAAGAAUAUAUAUGUACUGGCAUUUCCCCAGAAAUUUGGUCAGGCACAGCGGCAGGCGGUUGGUGUCGAUUUCUUAAUAUACUUUCUAAAUGUUAUAAAUCAAAAUCCACACUACUUAGGAGCUACUAAAACACAAAAUUUCAUAAUAUUUAUGUAUUUGUCCUCAGUUCAUUUCAGUCAAGUCAUAUAUUAUAAAAUUAAAUAACAACCAAAAUAAACAGAAAGCAAAAAAAUGAUUGAAAAACAUUCUGUGACCAAUGGAAAAUCUUGCUUCCAAUUUCUUGUCGUUUAUUAGAUUGUAUUCUGACAUGCACAGAGACUAAAGAAAAAUGUGUUUUAGGUAUAUAGCGAAUUCCGUAAAUAUGAAAGAAACUAUACAUAUGUAUAUAUUGUAUCUGAAUAUAUUAAAUGUUGGUACUGUGAAGUUAUAGUCGCCGUUCAGAAAAUAGUGUGAACAAAUUUUAAAUGGUCGGGAGCAAUCAAAUAAGACGUUUGAUUCCAAUUAAUUGUAUUCAUAACUUAAAUUACGCACAACCGCAACACACAUCAGUUACGGUUUAUUUUUGAAGCAAGUUCUUUAUACUUGUUUAUUUUCUGCAAUAGUCGUUAACAAUUAAAAUAUUUAAAAGAUCGCCGUGGCGUAGUGGAUAUGGUGUCUGCCUAGCGAUCGGGAAGUCACGGGUUAAAACCUCACUGUGAGCGUUCCUUCGAUCUCCCCCAAAGGACACCAAGUACUGGUUCUAGUCCCAGGAAACAGAUUCGAGAGCGUUUAUAAAAGCAUACGGCUUUCGAUGCAAUCGAGCUAAAUUAAAUAGGUUUAAACUAAUUAAAAUAAAACAAACAAACAAUUUGAGCAUAUCUUUAAUUGCUCUUCCUCCACAUGUACCGGUAAUAAUAGAUCAUUAUCGACCAUUAUAAUAUUACGACCAUAAUCGAUCCCCAUUAACGACCCGUAAAUCGUUCAUACGUGUUACCUAUGCCCCUUAUGCACACACCGCUGAUAAGAGCGUGCAUGUUUUGAUUGAACGUUGGCCGAAUGUAGACAGCAUUCGGAUUAAAGCUUGCAAGCUCUUGUGAAAAUGUCAAGCGCACGCAUUUUAGUCCGCUGGGCUAAAAUCGCCUGGGGAUAUCCCUGAUUAUAUGUAUCUAUACAUAUGAAUAUAUGGUGUUCGAAUAUAUGUAUGAAUACAAGUUACACUUUGAAUGGGUUGUUUUAUAUAAAUCAUUGUUCUUAAAUCAUGCUCCAGUGUUUUACUUAUUGUUAUAAUGUAUAAUAAUGCCUAUCUCAGAAGUCAACGAAUUUCACUCAAUAUCAAUAUUAAAGUGAUAAGUCUUAUGUUACUAAGAAGUGAAUUUUUAAUUUAUGUCUUACCUUAUUAAAGUAUCUGAUGAAUAAGUCAUUAUCAAUUGAAAGUCAUACAACUUAUUUUACUUAUCAGUGAUUACUUUUUGUAACUUCUAUCAAUUCCUAGUUUUCAUAAUUCUUAUAAUCCAUGCACUAC